rnacentral:pre_miRNA from 14 species
UUCUCUGUUCAAUUUUUGAUGAACAUAGAUUGAAAGACCCCCAAAGUGGGAAGACCCUCACUCUAGUCUCGGGAUGACGCGACGCCCUAAGAACUCGCAAGAGACC